rnacentral:rRNA from 1 species
GUAAACGGCGGCCGUAACUAUAACGGUCCUAAGGUAGCGAAAUUCCUUGUCGGGUAAGUUCCGACCUGCACGAAUGGCGUAACGAUGGCCACACUGUCUCCUCCUGAGACUCAGCGAAGUUGAAAUGUUUGUGAUGAUGCAAUCUCCCCGCGGAAAGACGGAAAGACCCCAUGAACCUUUACUGUAGCUUUACAUUGGACUUUGAACAGAUCUGUGUAGGAUAGGUGGGAGGCUUUGAAGCCGGGACGCUAGUCUCGGUGGAGCCAACGUUGAAAUACCACCCUGGUGUGUUUGAGGUUCUAACCUUGGUCCGUUAUCCGGAUCGGGGACAGUGCAUGGUAGGCAGUUUGACUGGGGCGGUCUCCUCCCAAAGUGUAACGGAGGAGUUCGAAGGUACGCUAGGUACGGUCGGACAUCGUGCUAAUAGUGCAAUGGCAUAAGCGUGCUUAACUGCGAGACCGACAAGUCGAGCAGGUACGAAAGUAGGACAUAGUGAUCCGGUGGUUCUGUAUGGAAGGGCCAUCGCUCAACGGAUAAAAGGUACUCUGGGGAUAACAGGCUGAUACCGCCCAAGAGUUCAUAUCGACGGCGGUGUUUGGCACCUCGAUGUCGGCUCAUCUCAUCCUGGGGCUGUAGCCGGUCCCAAGGGUAUGGCUGUUCGCCAUUUAAAGAGGUACGUGAGCUGGGUUUAAAACGUCGUGAGACAGUUUGGUCCCUAUCUUCCGUGGGCGCUGCAGAUUUGAGGAAGCCUGCUCCUAGUACGAGAGGACCGGAGUGGACACACCUCUGGUGUAUCGGUUGUCACGCCAGUGGCAUCGCCGAGUAGCUAAGUGUGGAAGAGAUAACCGCUGAAAGCAUCUAAGCGGGAAACUCGUCUCAAGAUGAGUCUUGCCGGGGCCUUGAGCCCCCUGAAGAGUCGUUCUAGACCAGGACGUUGAUAGGCUGGGUGUGGAAGCGCAGUAAUGCGUUAAGCUAACCAGUACUAAUUGCUCGUGAGGCUUGACCCU